GUGGGGAAUCUUCCGCAAUGGACGAAAGUCUGACGGAGCGACGCCGCGUGAGUGAAGAAGGCCUUCGGGUCGUAAAGCUCUGUCAUCAGGGACGAACGGCCGGUGGAGUGGAAAGCCACCGGAUUGACGGUACCUGAGAAGGAAGCCACGGCUAACUACGUGCCAGCAGCCGCGGUAAUACGUAGGUGGCAAGCGUUGUCCGGAAUUAUUGGGCGUAAAGCGCGCGCAGGUGGGAUCUUAAGUCCAUUUUUAAAGUUCGGAGCUCAACUCCGUGAUGGGAUGGAAACUGGGAUUCUUGAGUACCGGAGAGGAAAGCGGAAUUCCCCGUGUAGCGGUGAAAUGCGUAGAUAUGGGGAGGAACACCAGUGGCGAAGGCGGCUUUCUGGACGGUGUCUGACACUGAGGCGCGAAAGCCAGGGGAGCGAACGGGAUUAGAAACCCCUGUAGUCC
rnacentral:rRNA from 1 species